rnacentral:lncRNA from 10 species
CCCAAGGAAACAGCUCAGAGCUCAACUUCCUCCUGAAUUAGGCCACACCCGAGGCCUCCCGGGUCUCAUCCACGCCUCUGGGUCCAUCACUAAACAGAAGGCACAAUCCCACUAACUCUUACUCCAUCGCUGCUCAUGAAACUCCUGCCAGUAAGGACUGGGUCAAGCACCUGAAAACCAGAGCUCGUCCGUGGCUUCACUUGUUUUGGACUAAGGAGCUGAGGAGCGUGCAAGACUGUACUUGGAGAAUCUGUUUCUUGCUGCCAUUUCGUCACUGAACACUAUUUUUUUUCUCCUUCUUUUUUUGUAAGAAAAGGAGAACACAUAAAACCCCACCAGAACAAACUCCACUCGGCCCUGAAAGUAUUUACAAUCACGGCCCUGAAAGUACUGAAAGUAUUUACAAUCACGUUACAGUUCAUUCACUGCUGCAGAACCUCUCUCCAGCGAUCAAGGUCGAAGGGAGCCGACGUCGCCCUCUAUCGGCUCCCUGCUGCACUAGAAACCCCGGGGCCACAGCACUCUUCCAUCCCGCAGCCGCAUGAACCCCAGAAGGAGCUUCCACUGCAGGAUCGGGAAGAUGGAGGCUCCUGAAGAGCUGUAGAAGCGCAUCCUAGGCAGAAGCCCAGCAGACAGCAAAGGGCCUGGUUUGUUCAAGGAACUGGAGGGCAAGAAAAUCAGGAGCCAAUUCAUGCAGGGCACAGUUAGCCAACAGCCGGACUCACUCAGGAGGCCCUUCAUCUUCAUGUUCCCCACAUAGCAGAGGGGAGGGCAGAAGAUGAGAGGGAGGAGAGAGCAGAGCCAAGAGCCUCCUUUUCUCCCACUGUGCCCCUCCUAUGUGUGGCUCUGGACACCAGGAACCACCCAAGGACAGUGGGACUCCUCGAAAAGAUAAUUGCUCAUGAGGGAUCCAAGAGCAAGGCUUGUUACAUCCUAUAACCUUCACACAAGAUAUUGACUGAGAAUCCUCCAUGUGCCAAGUACUGUUCAAAAACACUGGGAACCCAGCAGGGAUGAGCCACAAGUUUCCUUGUCUUUACGAAGCUUUCAUUCUGAGGGAGUGGAGAGAGACAAGCAAUAAACAACCAAUCAAAACAAAGAUGACUCCUCUGAGUGUUGUGAUAUGCGGGUCAAGGAGGAUGGCUCCCAGGAUGUGACCUCAGAGCAGAAGCCUGGAGGCUUGCCAGCAGCGGGAAGAGCAGCGGCAGGGCACUGCAGGCAGAGGUGACCAAAAGCGUGAAACCUUGAGCUGGGAAGCACGUGGUCUGCUGGAAAGUGGGCUGAUGUAUUUGAAGAGAGCAAGGAGCAGAAUGGUACAAUGGGGUGAUGGGGGAAGAGCCAGGCAGAGCCCAGUGCUGCAAAGCCCGGUAGCACAUACAUGUGUAACGUACCUUGAAGCAAAUGAAUGGCCUG